rnacentral:lncRNA from 1 species
UGAAAGGAUGGAGUCAAGGCCUUGAGGAGACAGCAGAGAGGCAACUAAGAGAAGAUGGCAGGCAGCCAGAAGAAGGCACAAUCCCAGUGUCAAUCACUCCUCAACAGGUUGCUGGGUAAGCACAACAUCAGAGUAAAGGGAAUUAGGUGAUCCUCAAAGAUGUUCAUUCAUGCUGGAAAGACAAGACAAGUUGGCAGCAAAUUCUUCUAAGGGACACAUAUCUAGUUUUGUGAGAGAGGCAGUGUUUCUCAUUUGGGGACAUUUUGGAGACUCUUGGAAAAA